rnacentral:rRNA from 1 species
UACGUAGGGUGCGAGCGUUAAUCGGAAUUACUGGGCGUAAAGCGUGCGCAGGCGGUUUUGUAAGUCUGUCGUGAAAUCCCCGGGCUCAACCUGGGAACUGCGUUUGAAACUACAAGGCUAGAGUGUAGCAGAGGGGGGUAGAAUUCCACGUGUAGCAGUGAAAUGCGUAGAGAUGUGGAGGAAUACCAAUGGCGAAGGCAGCCCCCUGGGUUAACACUGACGCUCAUGCACGAAAGCGUGGGGAGCAAACAGG